rnacentral:tRNA from 1 species
GCUGUAGCUCAGUGGUAGAGCGCUUGCCUUGCAUGCGUGGGGCCUUGGGUUCGGUCCUCAGCACCGCA